rnacentral:rRNA from 1 species
UACGUAGGUGGCAAGCGUUGUCCGGAAUUAUUGGGCGUAAAGCGCGCGCAGGCGGUCCUUUAAGUCUGAUGUGAAAGCCCACGGCUCAGCCGUGGAAGGUCAUUGGAAACUGGAGGACUUGAGUACAGAAGAGGAAAGCGGAAUUCCACGUGUAGCGGUGAAAUGCGUAGAGAUGUGGAGGAACACCAGUGGCGAAGGCGGCUUUCUGGUCUGUAACUGACGCUGAGGCGCGAAAGCGUGGGGAGCAAACAGG